rnacentral:rRNA from 1 species
UACCUACGGGGGGCAGCAGUGAGGAAUAUUGGUCAAUGGUCGGGAGACUGAACCAGCCAAGCCGCGUGAGGGAUGAAGGUACAGAGUAUCGUAAACCUCUUUUGUCAGGGAACAAAGGCGGGGACGUGUCCCCGGAUGAGUGUACCUGAAGAAAAAGCAUCGGCUAACUCCGUGCCCGCAGCCGCGGUAAUACGGAGGAUGCGCGCGUUAUCCGGCUUUAUUUGGUUUUAAGGGUGCGCAUGCGGUCUGUUCAGUCCGCGUUCACAUCCCGUGGCUCCACCCCGGCCCGCCGUU